CUUAUUUGUCUUUCGUUUGCCAAAUUUUCGAAAUUGCAAAGAGACUUUAUGGACACCCCGUAUUACGUUAAGUAAUGUAUAUGGUGUGUAUAUGUAUAUUACGUUCGAUAUGUAUAUGGUGUAGGAAAAUGUGUUGGAAGCGUAGGAUUGUGAAGAUACGGGGAACUUGGAAUGUAUACCGAUGAAAUUAACGAAAGAAUUCAAAUGAAAUCUGAAAGAAGAAAGCGCACGAAAAUGAAACCACACAAGGUUUCCACGUAUGCUGCGAGUGCAAGAAAGCGUACAGAUCGAGAAUGGCUUUAAAUCGGCACGUUCGAGAGGAGUGCGGCAGAAUUUUGUACACGUGUCCGUUUUGCCACAGCAUCAUGCCUAUGAAGUUCAACCUGCUCAAUCACCUGAAGAAAGACCACGGUUGCGUGACCAAGAUUUGAAGUGACCUAAUUUCCGAACGAGUCGGAUCGUUUCUCGCGAAUGAUUUCUCUUUCUUCCGUACUGUAUCUUCUUACAUCAACGAUAAACCUGCAACGGUUCGAAAAGAAAAGUAACGCGAAGAAACGACGCGCAGAAUAAAUUUUGUAUCGGUCUAACGGUGUAUUGAACAAGCACGUCGAAUUGACAAACCGAGCUACAAGAAAGAAGCGUGACGUCAGAUCAACUCACUUAUUCAUGUUCCAAUUGAAACGUUUUUGAUAUUUGUACCAACACAGGCCAAUCGUUCUAAGAUAAAUAACAAUUAAUAAAGCGUUAUCGAAACAACGAUCGAACCGUACACGUAUAUUUUCCUUGUUUCUCAUUUAAUCUCGUCUCGGUGUGGCGAUCAAUGCAAAACUAUUAACGAAUGCAUGAGACCUAAAUCGAAUUAAACGCAACUUUACACA